UCCUGAUGGAGAAACGAGAUGUUCUUGCCAGCCUUCCUAGCUCCUGUCUCAAGGCACAAAGGGAAUUGGAGCACGUCAAAGUAGCUGGGACUGGAUAGCACCUAUUCUCCAUGGAAAGUUCUUAGACACGCCCAGGCUGAGGCUAAGAAGAUUCGGCUCUAACUCAGUUUACAUCAAGAGGGCUUCUCAGUGCAUUUGUAGAAAAUUAAACCUCAACAGGU
rnacentral:lncRNA from 1 species